rnacentral:rRNA from 1 species
AUUGAACGCUGGCGGCAGGCCUAACACAUGCAAGUCGAGCGGAUGAAGGGUGCUUGCUCCUGGAUUCAGCGGCGGACGGGUGAGUAAUGCCUAGGAAUCUGCCUGGUAGUGGGUGAUAACGUCCGGAAACGGGCGCUAAUACCGCAUACGUCCUGAGGGAGAAAGUGGGGGAUCUUCGGACCUCACGCUAUCAGAUGAGCCUAGGUCGGAUUAGCUAGUUGGUGGGGUAAAGGCCUACCACGGCGACGAUCCGUAACUGGUCUGAGAGGAUGAUCAGUCACACUGGAACUGAGACACGGUCAAGACUCCUACGGGACGCAGCAGUGGGGAAUAUUGGACAAUGGGCGAAAGUCUGAUCCAGCCAUGCCGCGUGUGUGAAGAAGGUCUUCGGAGUGUAAAGCACUUUAAGUUGGGAGGAAGGGCAGUAAGUUAAUACCUUGCUGUUUUGACGUUACCAACAGAAUAAGCACCGGCUAACUUCGUG